UGGGGAAUUUUGGACAAUGGGGGAAACCCUGAUCCAGCCAUCCCGCGUGUGCGAUGAAGGCCUUCGGGUUGUAAAGCACUUUUGGCAGGAAAGAAACGUCGCGGGUUAAUACCCCGCGAAACUGACGGUACCUGCAGAAUAAGCACCGGCUAACUACGUGCCAGCAGCCGCGGUAAUACGUAGGGUGCAAGCGUUAAUCGGAAUUACUGGGCGUAAAGCGUGCGCAGGCGGUUCGGAAAGAAAGAUGUGAAAUCCCAGAGCUUAACUUUGGAACUGCAUUUUUAACUACCGGGCUAGAGUGUGUCAGAGGGAGGUGGAAUUCCGCGUGUAGCAGUGAAAUGCGCAGAUAUGCGGAGGAACACCGAUGGCGAAGGCAGCCUCCUGGGAUAACACUGACGCUCAUGCACGAAAGCGUGGGGAGCAAACAGGAUUAGAUACCCUGGUAGUCCACGCCCUAAACGAUGUCAACUAGCUGUUGGGGCCUUCGGGCCUUGGUAGCGUAGCUAACGCGUGAAGUUGACCGCCUGGGGAGUACGGUCGCAAGAUUAAAACUC
rnacentral:rRNA from 1 species